UACAGAGGUCUCAAGCGUUGUUCGGAUUCAUUGGGCGUAAAGGGCGCGUAGGCUGCGGGGCAAGUCGGGUGUGAAAUCUCAGAGCUUAACUCCGAAACUGCAUUCGAUACUGGCGUGCUUGAGGACUGGAGAGGAGACUGGAAUUCAUGGUGUAGCAGUGAAAUGCGUAGAGAUCAUGAGGAAGACCAGUGGCGAAGGCGGGUCUCUGGACAGUUCCUGACACUGAGACACGAAGGCCAGGGGAGCAAACGGG
rnacentral:rRNA from 1 species